AAUCAACGCUGGCGGCGUGCCUCAGACAUGCAAGUCGAACGCGAAAGUUCCCUUCGGGGGAUGAGUAGAGUGGCGCACGGGUGAGUAACACGUAGGUAAUCUACCUUUGGAUGGGGAAUAACAACCGGAAACGGUUGCUAAUACCGCAUAAUGCAGCGGCACCUAAUGGUGACAGUUGUUAAAGCGGGGGAUCGAAAGACCUCGCGUCUGAAGAGGAGCCUGCGGCGGAUAGCUAGUUGGUAAGGUAACGGCUUACCAAGGCGACGAUCCGUAGCCGGCCUGAGAGGGCGGUCGGCCACACUGACACUGACAUACGGGUCAGACUCCUACGGGAGGCAGCAGUCGGGAAUUUUGGGCAAUGGGCGAAAGACCUGACCCAGCAACGCCGCGUGAAGGAUGAAAUCCC
rnacentral:rRNA from 1 species